UCGGCCCUCGACACGGUGGAUGAGCUUGUCAGUGGCGGAUCCAGGAGCAAUUCUGCCGCUGGCGACAGAUCAUCGGCCACUGACAAUGCCCAUUCACUGUUCGAGGAGAUC
ensembl:ncRNA mir-4971 mir-4971 stem loop